UACGUAGGGUGCGAGCGUUGUCCGGAAUUAUUGGGCGUAAAGGGCUCGUAGGCGGUUUGUCGCGUCGGGAGUGAAAACCUUGGGCUUAACUCAGGGCUUGCUUUCGAUACGGGCAGACUAGAGGUAUGCAGGGGAGAACGGAAUUCCUGGUGUAGCGGUGAAAUGCGCAGAUAUCAGGAGGAACACCGGUGGCGAAGGCGGUUCUCUGGGCCGAUAUUGACGCUGAGGAGCGAAAGCGUGGGGAGCAAACGGG
rnacentral:rRNA from 1 species